rnacentral:rRNA from 1 species
CGAGUCGAGAGGGGUCAAGCCCUCGGCGCACGGCUCAGUAACACGCGGAGAACCUGCCCUAAGGUGGGGGAUAACCUCGGGAAACUGAGGAUAAUACCCCAUAGUUCACGAACGCUGGAACGCCUCGUGGACCAAAGCUCCGGCGCCUUAGGAUGGCUCUGCGGCCUAUCAGGUUGUAGCGAGUGUAACGUACUCGCUAGCCGACAACGGGUACGGGCGUUGAGAGACGUCGCCCGGAGAUGAACUCUGAGACACGAGUUCAGGCCCUACGGGGCGCAGCAGGCGCGAAAACUCUGCAAUGCCGGCAACGGCGACAGGGGAACACCAAGUGCUUGCACUAUGUGCAAGCUGUUUCCAUGUCUAAAAAACAUGGAGAGUAAGGGCUGGGUAAGACGGGUGCCAGCCGCCGCGGUAAUACCCGCAGCCCGAGUGGUGCUCGUUAUUAUUGGGCCUAAAGCGUCCGUAACCGGCUUCGUAAAUGCCUGGGGAAAUCGUAGCGCUUAACGCUACGAAGGCCCGGGUAGACUGCGAGGCUCGAGACCGGGAGAGGCCAGAGGUACUCCAGGGGUAGAGGUGAAAUUCUG